rnacentral:misc_RNA from 1 species
AAAGUCGUAACAAGGUUUCCGUAGGUGAACCUGCGGAAGGAUCAUUCUUGUAUCACUAUACUAGUGUUUGCUUAGGCAAAUCUAAACUAUGUGAAUCGUGCUCGCUCAUUUGCAGUGUGAUUGUGUGAUUGUUUGCCAUUUACACUGACACUAGAUACCCAGUUCUACUGGGUCUUAUUGUAUUAUGUGUUAAUGACUACUCUCUCUCACAGCCUGCAUUUGGGCAACAAUUAAGCAGAUUUUAAGUCUAUACAACUACACUUUAUCUAUUGUCUUAAUUGAAUCAAUCUAACAAUAUACAACUUUUAGCAACGGAUCUCUAGGCUCUC